AGCUCAUCCAGAGGGGCAGAGGGAAACGGCCCGGUGAAGCCCCGGCAACCCUCCAGUCGGCUCUCGUCGUUCAACGCGAGGCUCCCGGCUAGGGAAGGUGCCAAAUCCGUCUCAUGGCGAAAUGCGUCGUGAGGAAGAUGAGGA
rnacentral:ncRNA from 2 species